GGAAGUAAAAGUCGUAACAAGGUUAAGGAUCCUUCCACCCGCCCGGGGGAGCCUUUGCAGCUGGAGACAGUAAGCCCGGCGACUCUAAACAAUGCGGUGCCUCGUGCAAGUCGGUCCCUGACCGGCGACACUUUCGAAUUGCGGGAAACCCCUAAGAGCCCUCCACACCAAGCCAGCCCGGGAAACCGGGCUGGUGGCCCAUCGGAAACUAUGGGGUACGGUAACAGUGGGAGGGAUGAGCCUGGCCGCCCCGGUUGCGGGGGAUGCCAGGCGAAAUGGGCGAUCCGCAGCGAAGCCCCUGCUGCCUGCGGGCAAUGGGGAACGCUCACAGACUAAGCGGAAGUGGGUGGAGCGUACGCGCUCCGCUUAAGAUAUAGUCGGUCCCGCGGCGAAAGUCGCGGGGGUCUCAUUCGUUCCGUAGGUGAACCUGCGGAAGGAUCAUUACCAAGCCGAGUGGGGGCCGCCCCCCCUCUCGCAGCCAACCCUUGCUUGACGCGCACCGACGUCCUUCCUCGGCGGGGUCGACCCGCCGACGGAACGUUCGCAAACCCUUCGUGCAUACCAGCAGUACCCGUUCCGUUACCGAAACGAAUCGUUACAAUCUUCAACAAUGGAUCUCUUGGCUCUGGCAUCGAUGAAGAACGCAGCGAAAUGCGAUAAGUAGUGUGAAUUGCAGACUCCAGUGAAUCAUCGAAUCUUUGAACGCACAUUGCGCCCCUCGGUAUUCCGUGGGGCAUGCCUGUUCGAGCGUCAUUUCACCCCUCAAGCCCCCUCCGGCUUGGCGUUGGGCGUCUGUCCUGGGUUCGCCCCGGACUCGCCCCAAAGGCAUUGGCGGCCCUGGCCCCCCCUCCCCGCUCGCAGCACAUUGCGUCUCGCGGGUCGGCGGCCUCGGCGUCCACCGAAAGGCUCCUCUCCAGUCUUGACCUCGGAUCAGGUAGGGAUACCCGCUGAACUUAAGCAUAUCAAUAAGCGGAGGA
rnacentral:rRNA from 1 species